CACUGUCCUCCCGCCACCAGCCGCCCCUGUCGCCGAGCCCGCAGUCGCCAGCGCGCCCCGAGCCCCUCCAGGCCAGAGGCUCCCGCAGGCGAUGGCGGACAAGAGGGCGGGGACCCCAGAAGCCGCGGCGCGCCCGCCGCCCGGCCUUGCCCGGGAGGGGGACGCGCGCACGGUCCCCGCGGCCCGGGCCCGAGAAGCUGGGGGGCGCGGGUCCCUCCACCCCGCAGCGGGCCCCGGGACCGCCUUCCCUUCCCCUGGGCGCGGGGAAGCGGCCUCCACGGCGACUACUCCGAGCCUGGAAAAUGGCCGGGUCCGGGACGAAGCCCCAGAAACCUGUGGUGCAGAGGGGCUAGGGACUCGGGCAGGAGCCAGCGAGAAGGCCGAGGACGCGAACAAGGAGGAGGGCGCCAUCUUCAAGAAGGAGCCAGCGGAGGAGGUGGAGAAGCAGCAGGAGGGGGAGGAGAAGCAGGAGGUGGCAGCGGAGGCCCAGGAGGGCCCGCGGCUCCUGAACCUUGGUGCCCUAAUUGUGGACCCACUGGAGGCCAUCCAGUGGGAGGCGGAGGCCGUGAGCGCCCAGGCCGACAGGGCCUACCUCCCGCUCGAGCGCAGGUUUGGGCGGAUGCACAGGUUGUACCUCGCCCGUAGGAGCUUCAUCAUCCAGAAUAUUCCGGGCUUCUGGGUCACCGCCUUCCUGAACCACCCGCAGCUCUCAGCCAUGAUCAGCCCUCGAGAUGAAGACAUGCUCUGCUACCUGAUGAAUUUGGAGGUGAGGGAGCUCAGGCACUCUAGGACAGGUUGCAAAUUCAAGUUCCGCUUUUGGAGCAACCCCUACUUCCAGAACAAGGUGAUAGUGAAGGAGUAUGAAUGCAGAGCCUCAGGCCGAGUGGUGUCUAUUGCGACUCGCAUCCGAUGGCACUGGGGCCAGGAACCCCCGGCCCUCGUACACAGGAACCGGGACACUGUCCGAAGCUUCUUCAGCUGGUUUUCACAGCACAGCCUCCCAGAGGCCGACAGGGUUGCCCAGAUUAUUAAAGAUGACCUGUGGCCCAACCCCCUGCAGUACUACCUGCUGGGGGAUAGGCCCUGCAGAGCCAGGGGAGGCCUCGCAAGGUGGCCCACGGAGACCCCUUCUAGGCCCUACGGGUUCCAGUCUGGCUAAGUGCUGCCUUGGGAUGUGCGGCCUACAUAAGCUUCCUCAUGCCUCCUACGGGUGGCGGAUCUGGGCUCAGGCCCAUGGUGGGCGCUCUGUUGUCUGCUGUCUGCUGUCUGCUGUCUGCUGUCUGUUCUGUGCACUCCCGCUCUGCGUGGUUCGGUGGACUCAGCUCUCAAAUUGUGGCCCUCGUGGCCAGUCUCUACUGUUUCCAUAUGGCCUCUUGCUGUUCUGUGUUAACAUCACGUGGCUGUCACAUGCCGCUGCGUCUACACUAAGCACCCAGUGCUGUGGAUGUGCACUGCCAUAAUCUUUACGGCAUGGACCUGUGACCGUGGCCAUCCCAGCCAUUUUUGACAAGGGUACCCACAAGUCACUACUUGGAGGACAGUGCCUCUUUGAGGCCUAUGCUUCAAGACUCCAGCCUGCCGGCCUUCGCAUGCUUGCUGGUCGUGCUCACAGUAGCUCUCUACACCCUGGCUGUGGCAAACUGAGUCUCAUCACCCAAGAUGAAGUGGCUUCAUUUGGUGCCGGGUGCCACCCAGGCUUGGACAUUCCAUGGCCUCAAGACCACAGGCUACCACCAAGUGGACUCUUGGGUAUCUGGCAGGAUGAGCACACAGCUGGCUGCUGGGCAUGGGUGAGGUCAAGGGCAUGAAGCAGUGGACAGCACAUUCUUUGUGAUCAUACUGCUCCUCCUGCCCCACGGUGGCCUGACAUCACAGCCUGCUGCUAGCUUAUGAGGGUCUGUGCCGUGCCCCACCAAUGCCUAGCCAUCUCCUUUCCCAUGAGUUUUGCCCAGACCACCAUCAGCCCUGUUGCCCGCCCCCAGGUCUACAGGAACCUCCAUAGCCGCUUGUGGACCCAGGUGGGCCACCUGCCAAUGCACAGGAGAGCCCCUAAUCCCCAGGAACUCUGCCAAACUGGCCUAUCUGGGCAUGUGAGUGAGGCAGGGGCAAGGAUGGGAUCCCCUCCUGAGCCCCAGUUACUGGACCCCACAGAAUCCAGGUGCUCUGCCAGCCCCCCUGCCUCUACCUGUUAGGCUGCCAAGCUGUGGGUGCUGGGGAGGGGGUCUUCCUGGUCCUGGGGCCUGUCUAUCCAUACCCAGAUCUCACACCAUUUUUUUCUUUAAAUGAUGGCUUAGAAACAAAAAAUAACAACUGAAGAAAAAGAUUUUUUCUUAAACUCAACAAGAAAGACUUUCGUGUUCAGUUUGCCUCUCUUCGUCUCCAGAGAGGGAGGGUUUGCCCUGUAGACUGCCAGCAUUCUCUCUUCCCCUAUACCUUACCCUCUUUAGCAAGGCCUAGAAUCUUCCAAAGGGGACAGUCCAAGGCUGCUGAACAGAGAGACCAGGAAGUCCCCAGAGCGGGGAUAGUUAAUAUUCCAUUUUAUGCUGUGUUCUUUUAGACUAACCCCAACUCUUUCUUACCCUUCCACCAAGUCCGAACCCCUCUAGGUAUAAGAGCUGAGCUGCCCACCCCCUCCUCCCCCUGCUUGCAGAGCUGUCUGUCUCCAUUUCAUUUUAGGGGAAGGGGUGGUAGUGGCCAUACCCAGGCCCCUUCCCAUGGAAGGCCUUAUCUUCUGUUCCCUAGGACCUGGGGAGGCCUUAUCACAAAAUAAUGUGGAGGGUGCUUUUGGCAGGGAAGUACAAAAGGAACCAGAGCCAGCUGAAAAGGCAGGAUGGCUGAGAGAUGGUAGAAGGAGGAGAGCCCUUGAUUUUGGUUAAUACAUAGAGACAGGGUCUCACUAUGUUGCCCAGGCUGGUCUUGAACUCCUGGGCUCAAGCGAUCUGCCCACCUUGGCCUCCCAAAGUGCUAAAAUUAUAGGUGUGAGCCACUGUGCCCAUCUGAUUUUUUUUUUUUCUUCAAGACAGGGUCUCACUCUGUUGCCCAGGCUGGAGUGCAGUGAUGCAUCAUAGCCUCAAACUCCUGGGCUCAAGUAAUUCUCCCAUCUCAGCCUCCCAAGUAGCUGGGACUACAGGUGUAUGCCACCAUGCCCAGCUUUUUAAAAAACAUUUUUGUAGAGACGGGGGUCUCGCUAUGUUGCCCAGGAUGGUCUUAACUCCUGGGCUCAAGGGAUCCUCCCACCUUGGCCUCCCAAAGUGCUGGGAUUACAAGUGUGAGCCACCGCGCCCAGCCCUUGCUAACAUUUUUGAUUCGCCAAUAUGUUUUGUAAACUAGAAGAAUAACAGAACACUGCAACUUUAGAGGUUUUCUCUCUUGGUCCUACCUUGUGUAUGUAGAAAGUUAAUGUAAGCUUUUCUUCUGCUGCUUUUAAGUAAGACCCUAUGCAUCCCCUCCUGUGUUUCAGCCCACUGGGGCAUUAUGCUGUAAAGGCUUGCUUGUUGCUUUUAGUUGAGAACUUUUGCAAGAUUGUCAGUGUACAUUUUUUAUGCCACUUGGAAACUUAUGUGACUAUUCACAAUUGUUAUCAGGUUGUUGGGGCCUUUACCAUAAUCUUGUACUUAGAAGCAGAGUUCUGGUUUUGUUGGACUUCAGACUGGAAGCUGUGCCUGUGUUCUGCAAGGAUAACCUCCAGAAAGAAUUCUGUGACCCUGAUGGUCUUGAUGAUUUUGUGCCAGGUUGUAAUUGACAUCACUGUAACUGACAAUGCUUCUUUUAAGCAGAGAAAUAUUCCUGAGGUGGCUUUGUCCAGUCACAAGGGGAUCUGUGACACUUUUGUUUUCUAUACGCAUGAUAAAAAAUAAAAAAUUGCCUGUCUGGGGAAAAAAUAA
ensembl:lncRNA novel transcript